UGGGGAAUAUUGGACAAUGGGCGAAAGCCUGAUCCAGCCAUGCCGCGUGUGUGAAGCAGGUCUUCGGAUUGUAAAGCACUUUAAGUUGGGAGGAAGGGCAGUAAGCGAAUACCUUGCUGUUUUGACGUUACCGACAGAAUAAGCACCGGCUAACUCUGUGCCAGCAGCCGCGGUAAUACAGAGGGUGCAAGCGUUAAUCGGAAUUACUGGGCGUAAAGCGCGCGUAGGUGGUUCGUUAAGUUGAAUGUGAAAGCCCCGGGCUCAACCUGGGAACUGCAUCCAAAACUGGCGAGCUAGAGUAGGGCAGAGGGUGGUGGAAUUUCCUGUGUAGCGGUGAAAUGCGUAGAUAUAGGAAGGAACACCAGUGGCGAAGGCGACCACCUGGGCUCAUACUGACACUGAGGUGCGAAAGCGUGGGGGGCAAACAGG
rnacentral:rRNA from 1 species